rnacentral:rRNA from 1 species
GACGGAGGGGGCUAGCGUUGUUCGGAAUUACUGGGCGUAAAGGGCGCGUAGGCGGCCUGCUAAGUCGAACGUGAAAUCCCUGGGCUCAACCCAGGAACUGCGUCCGAUACUGGUUGGCUUGAAUCCGGGAGAGGGAUGUGGAAUUCCAGGUGUAGCGGUGAAAUGCGUAGAUAUCUGGAGGAACACCGGUGGCGAAGGCGACAUCCUGGACCGGCAUUGACGCUGAGGCGCGAAAGCCAGGGGAGCAAACGGG